GGGUCCGUAGCUCAGUCGGUAGAGCAAGCGACUUUUAAUCGAGAGGUCCCGGGUUCGAAUCCCGGCGGACCCACCA
rnacentral:tRNA from 36 species